UACGAGCACCCCGAGUGGUCGGGACGAUUAUUGGGCCUAAAGCAUCCGUAGCCGGUCAUGCAAGUCUUCCGUUAAAUCCAGCCGCUCAACGGUUGGGCUGCGGAGGAUACUACGUGGCUAGGAGGCGGGAGAGGCAAGCGGUACUCAGUGGGUAGGGGUAAAAUCCUUUGAUCCAUUGAAGACCACCAGUGGCGAAGGCGGCUUGCCAGAACGCGCUCGACGGUGAGGGAUGAAAGCUGGGGGGAGCAAACCGG
rnacentral:rRNA from 1 species